CUGAAGUGAGAGAGAAAAGAAGAGAAAGUGCAUAAAGGAGAGAGGUUCCUACUAACUGGGCAAAGGUGACCCCUUAUGGGGCAGAGCAGAAUGGCUAGAACGAAGACCCCACACCUUUUGUGGAGCUGAAGGUUUGUUCCACGGAGGAGGGUCUCACCUCUGCAGCCACACCAGCGGGAGAGAAGGCUCUGUGGCGGAGAGGACGAGGUACAUGAAUGCUGCGUAACCCUGGACUCAGAAACAAGAAUAUCAGCAAAUAUUCUGUCAGAACCACACCUGCUCAUCAGUUCGAACGAUGGAUUGGCUCAAGACCCAGGUGUUAGCAAAAAUCAACAAAAGUAU